AAUGUUACGAUGUGUACGGUUAUUCCUCACCUACACACAAAACUUUCGGGGCUCCACUUAGCAAAAUUUCGCUGUUACUUCCCGUUAGCAAAAAUAUUUUUUUACUGUUGAGUUAGCAAAAAGCUAAAUUUACUUGAUUUUAGUAAUAAAAAAAAGUCAUUUUACUUGAUUUUAGUAAAACGAAGGUUUUUCAGCCGCUUUGUUCACAGACACCAGCCGCCGCGCCAGUAGGGAGAAAAAUAAAAAGCUGUCGCGAUUAAGUGCGGUUCCGGAUGUUCGUUGCUGAUGGUUCUUGUGGUGGCAAACUCCACAACGAAAUGGUAGCUGAAUCGACACCGGAUGCUUACAGGGAUAAAACCGCAACAUGAAGCGCGCCACAGGCCGGUAAUGAAGAAGGACCACAACUGGAAAUUCAACAAGCUGCAUCCGGCAAACACCCCGGUGCUUUCUUUGACGAAGGUGGCAUGGCAUUUCGCUCGCCAGUAGGUGCGUUCCCAGAAUAGGAAAAAUGUGAAAAAAAUAUAAAAAAUGUGAAAAAUAAAUUAUAAGUGAAUGAAA